UACGUAGGGGGCAAGCGUUGUCCGGAUUUAUUGGGCGUAAAGGGCGUGUAGGCGGCUAGGUAGGUCCGUUGUGAAAACUCGAGGCUCAACCUCGAGACGUCGAUGGAAACCAUCUAGCUAGAGUCCGGAAGAGGAGAGUGGAAUUCCUGGUGUAGCGGUGAAAUGCGCAGAUAUCAGGAAGAACACCCGUGGCGAAGGCGGCUCUCUGGUACGUGACUGACGCUGAGACGCGAAAGCGUGGGGAGCGAACAGG
rnacentral:rRNA from 1 species